rnacentral:tRNA from 1 species
GCCUGGGUGGCUCAGUAGGUUAAGCAUCCGACUUUGGCUCAGGUCAUGAUUUCAUGGGUUCGAACCCCAUGUCGGGCU